GACGAACGCUGGCGGCGUGCUUAACACAUGCAAGUCGAGCGGCGCGGCGGACGGGUGAGUAACGCGUGAGUAACUGCCCCCCUCUCUGGGAUAACAGUUGGAAACGGCUGCUAAUACCGGAUAGUGGGGGAUGACUCGCGUCCUAUCAGCUGGUUGGUGGGGUAGUGGCCUACCAAGGCGACGACGGGUAGCCGGCCUGCGAGGGCGACCGGCCACAUUGGGCUAAGAUGCGGCACAAACUCCUACGGGAGGCAGCGGGGGGGAAUAGUGCACAAUGGGGGAAACCCUGAUGAAGCAGCGCCGCGGGCGGGAUGACGGCCUUCGUGUUGUAAACCGCUUUCAGCCAGGACGCGGUAGUGGCAGAAGAAGCACCGGCUAACUACGUUCCAGCAGCCGCGGUAAUUC
rnacentral:rRNA from 1 species